UGCCAGCCGCCGCGGUAAUACGGAGGGUGCGAGCGUUAAUCGUAAUUACUGGGCGUAAAGCGCGCGUAGGCGGCUUGGCCAGUCGGAUGUGAAAGCCCCGGGCUUAACCUGGGAAUUGCAUCCGAUACUACCAAGCUAGAGUAUGGGAGAGGGAAGUGGAAUUUCCGGUGUAGCGGUGAAAUGCGUAGAUAUCGGAAGGAACACCAGUGGCGAAGGCGACUUCCUGGCCCAAUACUGACGCUCAGGUGCGAAAGCGUGGGUAGCGAACAGGAUUAGAUA
rnacentral:rRNA from 1 species